rnacentral:lncRNA from 1 species
AGGCGCUGGAGUUGGGGCAAAAGGGAGAGGGAGGGAGCCCGAAACUCGCGGCGGCGGCCAAUCGGCUCUCACUGCCGUCCAAUCGCAAGACCUAGCUGCAGUGUGAUUGGCCUUCGGCCCCGGUCCCAGGAGCGGGGAGAUGCCUGACUCGGGUCGUGGCUGACGACCCGACGGUUCGCCUGCGGCCGCCUCCAACAACGGUGGAAACCGCACACAGGGACCGCGGGCCCUCGGUGCAGCAAAUCGGAAAGUGCUGCGGUCGGCGGCCCUGGGCUCUGAGCGCUCAAGCGAGCAGAGGGGUGGAGGGGCUCUCCCCACCCACAGGAGGCUCUCGGCGGGGCGCAGCCAAUUCUGCGCGCCCAAGGCUCCCCUCUGCCGUGGAUCGCGUGUGCCGAGUGUUGGCCUCUUCCCCGAAAGGGCCAGACGGACCAAGGGGGCCUUCCCAGCCGGCUGCAAGCUCUCAGACGCUAAAAUGGGAACAAAGCUUCCAGAAAGGCAGCGCCUUUGGGCGGCCGCGCCCCGCCCAGCCGCGGGGGCCAUUGAUACAGAGGCUUGCUGCGCUUGGUGUGCGCGGCCCGGCCGGGCCUCUGGAAACGCCCAUGAGAAAUGAGCUCAUGCUGGAUGCGCGCGCUCCUUGGGCGCAACUGCCCAGCGCAAAACGGGCCCCGAAAGCAGGUGAGUGGAGGACACUUCAAUCUAAAGUGAUCUUAAAGGAGGAGUAGUAGGAUUUGAAGAUGAAGAAAGAAGAGGGGAGGUAAAUUACUUUCCAUCACUUCAAUUUCAACCCAUCAGAUAAAACCUCUCUUUAGUAAACCUGCAUGUGGGUGGAGCUGUAACAGCAAUUAAGGACAGUGUGACUCUGUUCUUCUGACUUUGGGAAAACCAGUUUGGCUGGAACAAAAAGCUGAUAGAGAAGACUAAUGGAAGAUAAGGUUGAAAAGAGUCUCGCUCUGUCGCACAGGCUGGAGUGCAGUGGCGCAAUCUCGGCUCACCGCAACCUCUGCUUCCUGGGUUCAAGUGAUUCUCCUGCCUCAGCCUCCCGAGGAGCUGCGACUACAGGCACGUGCCACCGCACCCAGCUAAUUUUUGUAUUUUUAGUAGAGACGGGGUUUCACCAUACUGGUCGGGCUGAUCUUGAACUCCUGACCUCAUGAUCCACCCGCCUCGGCCUCUCAAAGUGCUGGGAUUACAGGCGUGAGCCACCACGCUCGGCCAGUUUAAGUCUUAAGUGUUAAGGCAAAGCACUUAAGGUAGCCACACCUAUAAAGUGGAAUUGUCAGGUCAUUUUCAACCUAUUUCUUUGCCUAUGAGAGCUCUCAUGUGACAUAUGCCUAGUCUACCUUCAAAUGAGAAGAUAGCUGCCCUGUAAAGCACUUGGCUGUGGGAGGCACUCUCACUUCCCAAGAGGUUGUAUAUAACUGAGUCAAUGUACACUCAUGGGGAUGUCUAGGAGGCCAGAGAUCCACUUGCCAUUCAUGUGGCUCCAGAGGCAGUGGACUUCCAUGCUUCAUUACUCAUGGCCACUCCCCAAGAGUACCUGCUCUAAGUAGCCAUCAGUAAACCAUUCCAUAAAGAAAUGCUAAUGUGACCAGGUGGCCUAAAAGAGUCUGUGGUCUGCUGCUUCUUGGCCCUGGAUUAGGACUGUUUCUGUUGUUGGAAAAUAUUUGAUUCUUGAGGGGGAUGAAAUGAGGCAGCACCUGUGAAAAUUGUUUGAAAACUCUAAAGGCCCGUACUUGUGUAGAGGAUGUGGGUGAGAUGACUACUGGUAGACAAAAAAAGUUAAGCUCUCUACCCUGUAUUUUCCUCUUAGAUUACAAUUUCUUAUUUAAGUAUCUCUUCAAGAAGACUGGAGUGGAAUCUUUUCCCUUCUGGGUGGUAAAACUAAUGAGGGGAUGUUUGCCUUGACUUUGCUAUUACAGUAUAUGUGUGACAUCCCUAAAUCCACUCUAGUGCAUCUUACACACUUGUCAGAUUUAUCUAACUCUCACACCAUUGUCAUCACUUCCGCCUGCCCCUCAGGAACCUAAAUUGAUACCUCUGCCUAUCAUGGAAAAUCUAAACUCUUCAGUCUUGCAUUCAAAGUUCUCCUGCAACUACCUGCCCCAGCCUCCAUCAUCUUUCCAAUCUGACCUCUCCUUGCUUCACACUGUAGAAGCAGGUACUCUUGGAGCUGACAGUCAUCAAAAAGAUGGUGCAUAUCCAACUCUCACAUGUCAAAGAUGGGGAAACUGAAGCCCAGAGAAGUGAGGUGAAUAUUCCCAAGGCCACACACAGUCCUUCCACUGUGGCUAAGACGACAUGCUUUCCAUUCCACACACAACUUGCUCCUCUGGUCCUAAGCCAUGGGGCGAGGUGAGUAGAACUGGUACCCAGAAAACAGUAUGGCAUGGGAUAAAUGGUAGAUAAAGCAAUGUUGAGAAUUAAAAACUCCAAUGUGCUUACAACACAUAGCGUUCUCAGCAAGUGAACUUUAUAUAGAAUUUGCCACCCUCAUAGUAGGGAAUUCACUAAAGCUGGGAAUGAAUGUGCAAAUGUUUGUUUGCUUUGUUUUGUUUACCACAGAAGCGAAAUUUGUGACAAUCUUUUUCAACCUAAAUUGAAUAAAUGAUUCAGGACAAGAAAUGAUUACCAGAUGUGUCAGGGUUUUGAUGGGAAAUGGCCCAUCGAAUUAUUAUUGUUUGCCAAGUUUUCCCCUCACGAUUGAAGCUAACGAGGUCAUUUCAAGGGUAAUCAUGCUGGGGAACCUCGAUGCAAUGACGCUGUUACAACUUGCCCAAUUUGAAGCUAGGAAACCACGCCUCCUUUGGAAGGUUUAUGUGGUAGGAAAUGGGGGGUCAUUGGUGAUCGAAACCUCACUGAUUAUCAUGAAUGGCAAGAAGAGGAAAGCAGUGAAGGAAAAGCCCUGAUUACAAGAAUAUUGUUAAAUAAAUCAAAGGAAGUUUUAUAAAUAUUCAAAUAUGUAAUGUAAUUCAAAUGAGACGAAUCAACUUUCCACAUCUGCUUUGGUGAAUAGACAAGGAUACUUAAAAUUUGUGCAUUAAAUAUUUGAACAUAAAUUACUGCUUAUAAUGUGUUUGAGGUUUUUAAAAUGUUUUCUUUAGUAUUUAAAUCACCAUAGAACUGAAAAAAUAAAGCAUUUAAUCAUUA